GACGAACGCUGGCGGCGUGCUUAACACAUGCAAGUCGAACGAAGUGGCGAACGGGUGAGUAACGCGUAAUCAACCUGCCCUUCAGAGGGGGACAACAGUUGGAAACGACUGCUAAUACCGCAUACUUAAGGAGGGGAUUGCGUCUGUUUAGCUGGUUGGAGGGGUAACGGCCCACCAAGGCGAUGAUCAAUAGCCGGGCUGGGGAGGUUAACCGGCAAAAUGGGACUGGGGAACGGGCCAGACUCCUACGGGGGGCAAGAGUGGGGGAUCUUCCGCAAAGGACGAAAGUCUGACGGAGCAACGCCGCGUGAGUGAUGACGGCCUUCGGGUUGUAAAGCUCUGUUAAUCGGGACGCGGUACCGAAAUAGAAAGCCACGGCUAACUACGUGCCAGCAGCCGCGGUAAUAC
rnacentral:rRNA from 1 species